rnacentral:tmRNA from 1 species
GGGGAUGACAGGCUUCGACUUCGUGAUACCUGAGUCUGCUUGUUUCUGUUCGGGAUGGCAACGGUUCCCGUACCCACUUGUUGCACGAAUAAUUGCAAAUCUUGCAAGAGUUCCUGAGGUGUUCAAGAAGGCUUUCGCGGGUUUUACAUUCGCACCUUCUAUGGCCCUCGCCUAGUUCCGCUCAUGCGGAACACGCUCUCCCUUUGAUUCUCGCUAUUUGGAUAGAGCGUCAUCAGCGAGACGGAAUAUGACUUGAUGUGAUCAUUCCUCCGUAAUCUAACAUCGCCACUCUCAAUCCUUCUUUGUUCUUUUCCUCGAGAUUGAGAAAAUGAAAAGUUCAUGACAGUAUGGACACUUACUUCAGCACGUAGCACCCGGGUUCAAUUCCCGGCAUCUCCACCA